rnacentral:rRNA from 1 species
UACGUAGGGGCGAGCGUUGUCCGGAAUGACUGGGCGUAAAGGGCGUGUAGGCGGCCGAUUAAGUCUGGAGUGAAAGUCCUGUUUUUAAGGUGGGAAUUGCUUUGGAUACUGGUUGGCUUGAGUGCGGAAGAGGUAAGUGGAAUUCCCAGUGUAGCGGUGAAAUGCGUAGAGAUUGGGAGGAACACCAGUGGCGAAGGCGACUUACUGGGCCGUAACUGACGCUGAGGCGCGAAAGCGUGGGGAGCGAACAGGAUUAGAUACCCUGGUAGUCCCUGAGCGGG